rnacentral:rRNA from 1 species
CACGUAGGCGGACUGGAAAGUUGGAGGUGAAAUCCCAGGGCUCAACCUUGGGACUGCCUUCAAAACUAUCAGUCUGGAGUUCGAGAGAGGUGAGUGGAAUUCCGAGUGUAGAGGUGAAAUUCGUAGAUAUUCGGAGGAACACCAGUGGCGAAGGCGGCUCACUGGCUCGAUACUGACGCUGAGGUGCGAAAGUGUGGGGAGCAAACA